rnacentral:tRNA from 1 species
GAACCAUCCACUUGACUUUUAAUCAAGGUGUCCGGAGUUCGAAUCUCCGAUGGUUCA